rnacentral:ribozyme from 1 species
GUCGAGCUCGACGCGCUGGUCGUGCUGAAGAUCAUCCAGCACUGCCAAGAGGCGCUGCCGGCGUUCGU